CUGAUAAAAGGAAAGAAAGAAGAAAGAAAAAGAGAUGACAUGUAGGUAUCGUACUUUUAUUUA
rnacentral:ribozyme from 1 species